GAUGAAGAACGUAGCGAAAUGCGAUAAGUAAUGUGAAUUGCAGAAUUCAGUGAAUCAUCGAAUCUUUGAACGCACAUUGCGCCCGUCAGUAUUCUGGCGGGCAUGCCUGUUCGAGCGUCAUUACGCCCCUCAAGUCCCCUGUGGACUUGGUGUUGGGGAUCGGCGAGGCUGGUUUUCCAGCACAGCCGUCCCUUAAAUUAAUUGGCGGUCUCGCCGUGGCCCUCCUCUGCGCAGUAGUAAAACACUCGCAACAGGAGCCCGGCGCGGUCCACUGCCGUAAAACCCCCCAACUUUUUAUAGUUGACCUCAAAUCGAGUAAGACUACCCGCUGAACUUAAGCAUAUCAAUAAGCGGAGGA
rnacentral:misc_RNA from 1 species